UACGGAAGGCAGCAGUGGGGAAUAUUGCACAAUGGGCGAAAGCCUGAUGCGGCUAUGCCGCGUGUAUGAAGAAGGCCUUAGGGUUGUAAAGUACUUUCAUCGGGGAGGAAAAAACAAAACUAAUAAUUUUAUUUCUUGACGUUACCCGAAAAAGAAGCACCGGCUAACUCCGUGCCAGCAGCCGCGGUAAUACGGAGGGUGCUAGCGUUAAUCAGAAUUACUGGGCGUAAAGAGCACGUAGGUGGUUUUUUUAAAGUCAGAUGUGAAAUCCCUGGGCUUUAACCUAGGAACUGCAUUUUGAAACUGAAAUACUAGAGUAUCGUAGAGGGAGGUAGAAUUCUAGGUGUAGCGGUGAAAUGCGUAGAUAUCUGGAGGAAUACCUGUGGCGAAAGCGGCCUCCUAAACGAAUACUGACACUGAGGGUGCGAAAGCGUGGGGAGCAAACAGGGAUUAGAUACC
rnacentral:rRNA from 1 species